ACAGUUCGGUCUGUAUCCGUCGUGGGCGUUGGAGUAUUGAGGAGAGCCGUCCCUAGUACGAGAGGACCGGGAUGGACCAACCUCUUGUGUACCGGUUGUUCCGCCAGGGGCAGCGCCGGGUAGCGACGUUGGGAAGGGAUAACCGCUGAAAGCAUCUAAGUGGGAAGCCCACUCCAAGAUGAGUACUCCCAGGACAUAAGUCCUCGGAAGGGCCGUGAGAGACUAUCACGUUGAUAGGCGGUAGGUGGAAGCGUGGUGACACGUGUAGCCGAGCCGUACUAAUCGCCCGAGAGGCUUGACCGC
rnacentral:rRNA from 1 species